CAAGUAAUUAAGUGCAUGUGGUGGAUGCCUUGGCAGUCAGAGGCGAUGAAAGACGUGAUAGCCUGCGAAAAGCUCCGGGGAGGCGGCAAAUAUCCUUUGAUCCGGAGAUGUCUGAAUGGGGGAACCCACCUACUUUAAGGUAGGUAUUGCAACAUGAAUACAUAGUGUUGCAAGGCGAACGAGGGGAAGUGAAACAUCUCAGUACCCUUAGGAAAAGAAAUCAAUUGAGAUUCCCUCAGUAGCGGCGAGCGAACGGGGAUCAGCCCAUUAAGUUAUGUGUGUUUUAGUGGAACGCUCUGGGAAGUGCGAACGUAGAGGGUGAUAUUCCCGUACACGAAAGGGCACACAUAAUGAUGACGAGUAGGGCGAGGCACGUGAAACCUUGUCUGAAUAUGGGGGGACCAUCCUCCAAGGCUAAAUACUCCUGACUGACCGAUAGUGAACCAGUACCGUGAGGGAAAGGCGAAAAGAACCCCUGUGAGGGGAGUGAAAUAGAUCCUGAAACCGCAUGCAUACAAGCAGUGGGAGCACCUUCGUGGUGUGACUGCGUACCUUUUGUAUAAUGGGUCAGCGACUUAUAUUCAGUAGCGAGGUUAACCGUAUAGGGGAGCCGUAGAGAAAUCGAGUCUUAAUAGGGCGUUUAGUUGCUGGGUAUAGACCCGAAACCAGGCGAUCUAUCCAUGAGCAGGUUGAAGGUUGGGUAACACUAACUGGAGGACCGAACCCACUGUCGUUGAAAAGCCAGGGGAUGACUUGUGGAUAGGGGUGAAAGGCUAAUCAAGCCUGGUGAUAGCUGGUUCUCCCCGAAAGCUAUUUAGGUAGCGCCUCGGACGAAUACCAUAGGGGGUAGAGCACUGUUUCGGCUAGGGGGUCAUCCCGACUUACCAAACCGAUGCAAACUCCGAAUACCUAUGAGUACUAUCCGGGAGACAGACUGCGGGUGCUAACGUCCGUAGUCAAGAGGAAAACAAUCCAGACCGCCAGCUAAGGCCCCAAAAUCAUAGUUAAGUGGGAAACGAUGUGGGAAGGCAUAGACAGCUAGGAGGUUGGCUUAGAAGCAGCCACCCUUUAAAGAAAGCGUAAUAGCUCACUAGUCGAGUCGGCCUGCGCGGAAGAUGUAACGGGGCUAAAACUAUGUGCCGAAGCUGCGGAUGUAUACUUUGUAUACGUGGUAGGGGAGCGUUCUGUAAGCCGAUGAAGGUGUGUUGAGAAGCAUGCUGGAGGUAUCAGAAGUGCGAAUGCUGACGUGAGUAACGACAAAACGGGUGAAAAACCCGUUCGCCGAAAGACCAAGGGUUCCAGUCCAACGUUAAUCGGGGCUGGGUGAGUCGACCCCUAAGGCGAGGCCGAAAGGCGUAGUCGAUGGGAAAAUGGUUAAUAUUCCAUUACUUCUGUGUAAUGCGAUGAGAGGACGGAGAAGGCUAAAUCAGCCUGGCGUUGGUUGUCCAGGUGAAAGGAUGUAGGCAUGUAUCUUAGGCAAAUCCGGGGUACUCUAUGCUGAGAUCUGAUAGCAAGCUGUACUUGUACAGCGAAGUGGUUGAUGCCAUGCUUCCAGGAAAAGUCUCUAAGCUUCAGUUACACAGGAAUCGUACCCGAAACCGACACAGGUGGUCAGGUCGAGUAGACCAAGGCGCUUGAGAGAACUCUGCUGAAGGAACUAGGCAAAAUGGUACCGUAACUUCGGGAGAAGGUACGCUGUUGUUGGUGAUGGAACUCGCUUCCUGAGCUGACGACAGCCGCAGAAACCAGGCCGCUGCAACUGUUUAUUAAAAACAUAGCACUCUGCAAACACGAAAGUGGACGUAUAGGGUGUGAUGCCUGCCCGGUGCUGGAAGGUUAAUUGAUGGGGUUAGCGUAAGCGAAGCUCUUGAUCGAAGCCCCAGUAAACGGCGGCCGUAACUAUAACGGUCCUAAGGUAGCGAAAUUCCUUGUCGGGUAAGUUCCGACCUGCACGAAUGGCAUAAUGAUGGCGGCGCUGUCUCCAGCAGAGGCUCAGUGAAAUCGAAAUCGCUGUGAAGAUGCAGUGUACCCGCGGCUAGACGGAAAGACCCCGUGAACCUUUACUGCAGCUUGACACUGAACUUUGACCUUACUUGUGUAGGAUAGGUGGGAGGCUUUGAAGCUGGAACGCUAGUUCCAGUGGAGCCGUCCUUGAAAUACCACCCUGGUAAUGUUGAGGUUCUAACUCUGUCCCGUGAUCCGGGACGAGGACCGUGUCUGGUGGGUAGUUUGACUGGGGCGGUCUCCUCCUAAAGAGUAACGGAGGAGUACGAAGGUGCGCUCAGCGUGGUCGGAAAUCACGCGUAGAGUAUAAAGGCAAAAGCGCGCUUAACUGCGAGACCCACAAGUCGAGCAGGUACGAAAGUAGGUCUUAGUGAUCCGGUGGUUCUGUAUGGAAGGGCCAUCGCUCAACGGAUAAAAGGUACUCUGGGGAUAACAGGCUGAUACCGCCCAAGAGUUCAUAUCGACGGCGGUGUUUGGCACCUCGAUGUCGGCUCAUCUCAUCCUGGGGCUGAAGCAGGUCCCAAGGGUAUGGCUGUUCGCCAUUUAAAGAGGUACGCGAGCUGGGUUUAGAACGUCGUGAGACAGUUCGGUCCCUAUCUACCGUGGGCGCUGGAAAUUUGAGAGGAUCUGCUCCUAGUACGAGAGGACCAGAGUGGACGAACCUCUGGUGUACCGGUUGUGACGCCAGUCGCAUCGCCGGGUAGCUAUGUUCGGAAGGGAUAACCGCUGAAAGCAUCUAAGCGGGAAGCCUACCUCAAGAUAAGAUUUCCCUAGGACUUUAUGUCCUCUAAAGAGCCGUUCGAGACUAGGACGUUGAUAGGUUGGAUGUGGAAGCAUAGUGAUAUGUGAAGCUGACCAAUACUAAUUGCUCG
rnacentral:rRNA from 1 species